GCAAGUCGAGCGGUAACAGGAAAUAGCUUGCUAUUUUGCUGACGAGCGGCGGACGGGUGAGUAACGCGUAGGAAUCUACCGAGUAGUGGGGGAUAGCCCAGAGAAAUUUGGAUUAAUACCGCAUACGCCCUACGGGGGAAAGGAGGGGAUCUUUUGACCUUUCGCUAUUUGAUGAGCCUGCGUAAGAUUAGCUAGUUGGUAGGGUAAAGGCCUACCAAGGCGACGAUCUUUAGCUGUUCUGAGAGGAUGAUC
rnacentral:rRNA from 1 species